AACCUCCGCAAUGUGAGAAAUCGCGACGGGGGGAUCCCAAGUGCCAUUCUUAACGGGAUGGCUUUUCAUUAGUGUAAAGAGCUUUUGGAAUAAGAGCUGGGCAAGACCGGUGCCAGCCGCCGCGGUAACACCGGCAGCUCUAGUGGUAACAAUUUUUAUUGGGCCUAAAGCGUCCGUAGCCGGUUUAAUAAGUCUCUGGUGAAAUCCUGUAGCUUAACUGUGGGAAUUGCUGGAGAUACUAUUAGACUUGAGACCGGGAGAGGUUAGAGGUACUCCCAGGGUAGAGGUGAAAUUCUGUAAUCCUGGGAGGACCGCCUGUUGCGAAGGCGUCUAACUGGAACGGUUCUGACGGUGAGGGACGAAAGUUAGGGGCGCGAACCGGAUUAGAUACCCGGGUAGUCCUAACUGUAAACGAUACGGACUUGGUGUUGGGGUGGCUUUGAGCUGCUCCAGUGCCGAAGGGAAGCUGUUAAGUCCGCCGCCUGGGAAGUACGGUCGCAAGACUGAAACUUAAAGGAAUU
rnacentral:rRNA from 1 species